rnacentral:rRNA from 1 species
CAAGUCGAGGGGAAACGACAUCGAAAGCUUGCUUUUGAUGGACGUCGACCGGCGCACGGGUGAGUAACGCGUAUCCAACCUGCCCACCACUUGGGGAUAACCUUGCGAAAGUAAGACUAAUACCCCAUGGUCUCCACGGAUGGCAUCUGAAAUGGAGUAAAGGUUUCGGCCGGUUGCGGAUGGGGAUGCGUCCGAUUAGCUUGACGGCGGGGUAACAGCCCACCGUGGCAUCGAUCGGUAGGGGUUCUGAGAGGAAGGUCCCCACAUUGGAACUGAGACACGGUCCAAACUCC